UGGCUAUGAAUUUUUACACACACUUGUAUAAGUCAUAGAAUGAAUAAAGUUAUAGCGCGGAACAACGUUAACAAAUACAACUUGCAGCAACGGAACUCUGGGCUCUCGCAUCGAUGAAGAACGCAGCGAAAUGCGAUAAGUAAGGUGAAGUGCAGAAUUCAGUGAAUCAUCGAAUCUGGGAACGCACCUUGCGCUCCUUGGUAUUCCGAGGAGCAUGCCUGUUUGAGUGUCAUGAAAUUCUCAACGGCUUCAGCUUUUGUAGCUGAAGUGAAGUUGGAAUUGGAGGAAGAUGGCUGGCGUGACUUUGGUUGCUUGUCGGCUCCUCUUGAAUGCAUGAGCUAUAUCCAGUGGAACAUGGUGAAGCACCAAUAUGAAAAUUAUCUAUGUUGGAUGUGAAAGCCAUUGAGCAGAGGUUCUGUUAUCAGAAUCUCCUACAGGAAAGCUGUGUCUCGGUUAUAUAGACCUGUUGACAAUAUAAAUGACAAAUUUGACCUCAAAUCAGGUAGGACUACCCGCUGAACUUAAGCAUAU
rnacentral:misc_RNA from 1 species